UACGUAGGGACCAAGCGUUGUUCGGAUUUACUGGGCGUAAAGGGCGCGUAGGCGGCUUGACAAGUCACUUGUGAAAUCUCCGGGCUUAACUCGGAACGGCCAAGUGAAACUGUCAUGCUAGAGUGCAGAAGGGGCAAUCGGAAUUCUUGGUGUAGCGGUGAAAUGCGUAGAUAUCUGGAGGAACACCGAUGGCGAAGGCAGCCCCCUGGGUCAACACUGACGCUCAUGCACGAAAGCGUGGGGAGCAAACAGG
rnacentral:rRNA from 1 species